rnacentral:misc_RNA from 1 species
UUGGCAUGUCUGGGCACGUUGGAUCCCUGCUUGGGCAGCGACGACGUACCUUGCAUGCCUCUUCAGUAGGUCGCCCAAGUGCAUGCUAGCCUUGGUCGUUCUGUCGGUUUCCUGUGUUAUAUACCUACCAAGAAGGUAUCGAAUCGUUUAAAAAUGUCCCGUUUCAGCCUUGUGUUGCGCCCCUCGGGGCUGCGGUGCGGGGUGGUCCUCAAAGCACCUGCCGUGUUCCAUUGCUCGUACGUCUUGAUAUGUGCUCGAGUUUUUGGCCCAUGGUUGUGUGCUCGAUCUCUCGGAUGCGGAAAAUUGAGUGGGCACGAGGCCUUUGGUCUCUAUUUGCCACGAAAUAAAGCGUUCUACGCUUCUUG